GUUCUUGUAGCGCAAUGGAUAGCGCGUUGGACUUUUAAUCCAAAAGUCGUUUCGUGUCCCACCUUGGACG